CAGACGGUUCACCUCACAAGACCGGGGUCAACCACGGCUAACAGCAUGAACGACGGCGCUUCAAUGCACAAUGAGGGACGUCUGCAGCGACUGAGAGAGUCUCACCACAUCCUGACAUGAGGAAAAAGACUUUAUUGAAGACUACAAUGAGAAAAACUAUCCAGACAGCAGACGGCUGCAUUCAAGGUGAGCUCUGAACAUUUGAUCUGGAACAGGAAUUCAAUAACGGCAGCAUGAGCUUCAUUUCGGUCUGUAGCUGCUGAAUUCAUGGAUGAAUCGUCUGGCACUAGAGAGCAAGACCAUCAAACAUCCAUGUCAGCUGAUGGAGGCCCAAGAGUCUCACCAAACAAACAACCUACAGAGUGAAGACCUCAAAUCUGAUUGGAUGGCCUCCUAUUCAGCCACAUGUGUGAACAAAUGCCUCUAAGCUGAUUUGUUUUCUAAAAUAAAUCUAGUUUGUGUUCUAAUCAAUGCCUGUGUGUUUGCUUCUUUACACCGCUGUUAACAGUUUAGGCUGUUAGAUUGUUCCAGAUAAGACAAGUACAAGAUUCUUCAGAGCCGUUCUACCACAAGCCUGACAGGAAGAACUCCAACAGCUACUGAAUGUUCC
ensembl:lncRNA